rfam:Photobacterium profundum SS9
CCAAUCUCGGGUGAAUUGUACUGAGACACAUGCGUUAUGACGAUAUCAAAUAAGUUGUGUCAUAACGUGCCGUAGGUACUAACGAACCAAUCGUUAGUAGAAGGGCAUUAAUAGAGCAAACCUGCACAAAAUAAAGCAGGUGCAUAUUGAAGGAACCCAACA